AAUGAACGUUGGCGGCGUGGAUUAGGCAUGCAAGUCGAGCGAGAACCCGCAAGGGGGACAGCGGCGAACGGGGUAGGAAUACGUAGGUAACGUACCCUCGGGGCGAGGACAGCCACGGGAAACUGUGGGUAAUACUCGAUAAACUUCCCAAUCAUUAUGGAAGGGAAGCAAUGGGUGUGAUUCCACCUGAGGAGCGGCUUACGCAGUAUCAGCUAGUUGGUGAGGUAACGGCUCACCAAGGCUACGACGCUUAGGGGGGUGUGAGAGCAUGGCCCCCACCACUGGCACUGAGACACUGGCCAGACACCUACGGGUGGCUGCAGUCGAGAAUCUUCGG
rnacentral:rRNA from 1 species